rnacentral:rRNA from 1 species
UCGCGAAAACUCCGCAAUACGCGAAGGCGUGACGGGGCUAUCCCGAGUGCCGUCCGCUGAGGAUGGCUUUUCCCCAGUGUAGAUAGCUGGGGGAAUAAGGAGAGGGCAAGUCUGGUGUCAGCCGCCGCGGUAAUACCAGCUCUCCGAGUGGUGGGGACGUUUAUUGGGCCUGAAGCAUCCGUAGCCAGCUGAGCAAGUCCCCAGUUAAAUCCAGCGAUUUAAUCGUUGGACUGCUGGGGAUACUGUCCGGCUAGGGGGUGGGAGAGGCCGACGGUAUUCCCGGGGUAGGGGUGAAAUCCUAUAAUCCCGGGAGGACCACCAGUGGCGAAGGCUGUUGGCUAGAACAUGCCCGACGGUGAGGGAUGAAAGCUGGGGGAGCGAACCGG